rnacentral:rRNA from 1 species
GUAAUGUAUGGGGAUCUGCCCGAUAGAGGGGGAUAACUACUGGAAACGGUGGCUAAUACCGCAUAAUGUCUACGGACCAAAGCAGGGGCUCUUCGGACCUUGCACUAUCGGAUGAACCCAUAUGGGAUUAGCUAGUAGGUGGGGUAAAGGCUCACCUAGGCGACGAUCUCUAGCUGGUCUGAGAGGAUGAUCAGCCACACUGGGACUGAGACACGGCCCAGACUCCUACGGGAGGCAGCAUG